UGUGCUGUCAAGAUGGCGGACGAAGAAAACACACUAACUGUGAGGAUAAUUUACUUGUUAUGAAUUGGGAUUACAAUGGUAAACCGAAUAAAAUCCGCAAUGUCUUGGAUAUAACUAGCUGGGAUGUUUGUUGUUAGCAGUGUAAUAUGUCUAGAAACGUUUUGCUGAGCAUUCUCCAGCUCUAGCUAGCUGAAAACAUAGCAGCUAGCUAACGACUAACGUUAGCUUGUUAAUGCUAGCAAAGUCGUUACAGCUCCGUAUGGGGCCAUGGCUAAAGGAUCCAGCUUUUGUCAAAUUAACGUCAAAAGUUGGAAGGUUUUGCAUUUUAACUAACCCUAACCCUUUUCCUAAUCUUAACCUAAUUGUCACAACCUGCUACAUUAAUACGUUUUGCUUAGCUAGAUAAUUAGCUAAACUCAAGAAAUUAAUGUCAUAACGUUAUUUUUUUUAAAUCAACGGGUAUGCCUUUAUUCCAUCCGUCGAUAAUUAAUGUGCAUUCAAUUCAAAUAGUUCAAAGAUUUAUCUUGCGUUCUUAAUGACCCCCAAUAUUACUGGACGCCACAAGCAGAUGUGAAGUCGUCAUUACUAGUCGGCGACACGUUGUUAUUGUUGGACAGCAAACAUGGCGGAUGAAAGUGUUGCUGGAGCCAGCCUUUUUAACUUUCGUUAAUGCUUUUGGUAAAUAAUGCUAAGUCUACUUUCUAGUAGUCAGAAUAAUCUCACUCGAGAAAUACGCCUGAGCAGACAACGAUAUGACGUUGAACGACAGCACAGACGACGACAGUUUUUGCGAUUACGCGCUCCAACCACUAUAUGUACUGACGAAAGACGCAGCAAUCGAGGAUGCAACAUGCUUUCGAGGUGUGUGGAAGCGGGAUAGAAGACGCGGUGAAGAUGUUUGCAGUAUGAUGUUGGAUGGUUUAGACUAUGAUCAAUGGCGCAAACACUUCCGCAUGACUCGGACCACAUUUGAACACCUUGCACAGUUAGUAGAGUCUGAGAACUAAACAGACCACCAAUGUCUGAAACACAAUUGAAUACCGUGGUGUGCAACACCAAGCGACUACCACAUUAUUUCAAGUUUAUUUGGAGUCAGUGUCUCCACUGUUUGCAUCAUUCUAAGACAGGAGACUGCAGCUGUCGUGAAGACAAGUACAACCGUUUUAUUUCGCUACCUGGUGGUAAAGGCAUCCUAGCCACCAUCUGUGGGUUUAAGCAGCUUGGGUAUCCACAAUGUGCUGGUGACAUCGGCGAGACACACAUCCCCAUCACUGCCCCAAAAGAAUAUCCAAAGGACUACUUGAACAGCAAAGGGCAGCAUUAUCCUGUGUUGCAGGCUGUUGCUGAUCACAACCUCUGAGUUCAGCGAUUGUCAUUGGUAUAGAGAUACCAGUUAAUCUGGUAGGAGACCCAGCCUACCCACUGAAGAGGUGGUUAAUGACAGGCUUUUCCCAGGACACAUCUCUGAAUAACCACCAGCAGAAGUUUAAUGACCACCUGAGUUCUGCCAGGGUGGCUAUUGACGACGUCUUAGGACGCUUGAAGGGAUGCUAGAGAUGUUUGGUAAAGUGCAUCAACGUUGACGACAGACACUAACGGCAUGUUGCAUACUGCACAAUGUGUGCGAACUGAAGAAAGAACAGUUUCUGGCAUGAAAGAAACAUUGGCCAAGAUCAGUUGAAGAAAGAACCGUUUCUGGCUGAAUGGAACUGGAUCAUCAGCAGACAGAGGCUUAGCUCACAGAGCAAGAUCAUAGUUUACUACAAGGGCCAGUGGUGGAAAGUGUUGCUACCGUACGGGAUGCCAUUAUGACCUCUUUACAGGACACCAUCAUAACCGUGCACGGAUGUUUUAGCUUUGUGGUGCAAGUUGUUUGUGAUUAUUGUUAAAUACCGCGGUGCUCAAGUUGUGGCUAUGCCAACAAAGAACAUUUCGUAACAACGUUGUGAAUUUGCAGUGCAACACUUUUUUUAAAUAUUUUUUUUGCCUGAAUGCUAUUUACUUUUGCACAGUAUGUUUUCAAGAUGUUUGUGAAUUAUGUUAGACUUUGUAUUUGUACGAUUUUUUUUUGUUACGUGAACGUUAUGUUACAUUACUUUGUACUUUUAAGAUUUAUGUGAAUGCUUUGUUCUUGGAAGAGAUCCUCAAUAAAUGUGUUUUAUGAA